rnacentral:rRNA from 1 species
UACAGGGGGUGCAAACGUUGCUCGGAAUCAUUGGGCGUAAAGCGCACGUAGGCGGUUCGUUAUGUCGGAUGUGAAAGCCCUUGGCUUAACCGAGGAAGUGCAUCCGAAACUGGCGAGCUAGAGUACUAAAGAGGAUCGCGGAAUUCCCGGUGUAGAGGUGAAAUUCGUAGAUAUCGGGAGGAACACCGGUGGCGAAGGCGGCGAUCUGGGUAGAUCUGACGCUGAGGUGCGAAAGCGUGGGGGAGCAAACAGG